rnacentral:rRNA from 1 species
CUAAUCCUAGAAAGUUUUCUCGUAGUCCGGAUUGGAGUCUGCAACUCGACUCCAUGAAGUCGGAAUCGCUAGUAAUCGCGGAUCAGCAUGCCGCGCUGAAUACGUUCUCGGGUCUUGUACACACCGCCCGUCACACCAUGGAAGUGGAUUGCACCAGGAGUAGAUAGUCUAACCUUCGGGAGGGCGUUUACCACGGUGUGCUUCAUGACUGGGGUGAAGUCGUAACAAGGUAGCCGUAGGGGAACCUGUGGCUGGAUCACCUCCUU